CACGUUAGCGCGACUUGGUGACGUAGAAGGAAAUAGUGUCCUUGAGGGAGCGAUUUCCUUCCACGUCACCAAGUCGCGCUGACGUGG
rfam:Gossypium raimondii Chr09_contig_1323, whole genome shotgun sequence.